UACGUAGGGGGCAAGCGUUGUCCGGAUUUAUUGGGCGUAAAGAGCGUGUAGGCGGCCAGACAGGUCAGCUGUGAAAACUCGAGGCUCAACCUCGAGACGUCGGUUGAAACCGUCUGGCUAGAGUCCGGAAGAGGCGAGUGGGAUCCUGGUGUAGCGGUGAAAUGCGCAGAUAUCAGGAGGAACACCAAUGGCGAAGGCAGCUCGCUGGGACGGUACUGACGCUGGAGACGCGAAAGCGUGGGGAGCAAACAGG
rnacentral:rRNA from 1 species